UGCUUGUCCAAAGGUAGUGAGUUAGCUCAGUUGAUUGUUCACAGUCAGUUAUGGAUGGAACUCUCUCGCUCUAGUCUUUCCUCUCUUCUUACUAUUGUACUUGACUAGUCUUUA
ensembl:misc_RNA Y_RNA Y RNA